rnacentral:lncRNA from 1 species
ACAUCAAUCAGAAUCUCCAAAAGAGAAUAAGUUUGAGAAAAAUACUCAUCCGAUAUCCUAUUAUAAAGAAGGUUUAAAUUUCAAAACACCUGAUUUCCCCUAAUCUCAAACAUAUCCGCAACUGAAACAUUGGGGUUAUCCAUUCGCUCAAUAAUAUUCGGAAAACAUAUUUCAAGGGUGAUGUGCCUAACCAUUUAUGAUGCCAAAAUGAUAUAUGAUUUUUCACACCCAAUGAAUAUCUUGAUGAUCUAGCGUUUUGCACAUAUUAAUCGAUCUCCAAUAAUAAGAUAUAUUUCUACUAUUCCUAAAGCCAAUCUACAUACCAAAUCUAUCAAUUCUAUACUUGGCAGCAAUAACUUGAUACCACAACUAGUCUUUUAACUGCAAACUUUUC